rnacentral:pre_miRNA from 1 species
AAUAACUUCAUUUUUCAGUUUUUUGAUAUAAUGUUUUUACUCUUCGUCUUAUUUAAAUUAUUUUUGUGAUUAAUAUUUUUAUUGUUACUAGAUGAUAAAAUAUGAAUAGUACUUUAUGCGUGACUAUUUUUUAAGUGUUUGUAUAAAAUUUUUAAAUAAGACGGAUAGUAAACGUUAGACACAGAAAA